AGCCAGCUGACGAGUCCCGAAUUGGACGAAAUGCGCAUCCUGAAU
rnacentral:hammerhead_ribozyme from 1 species